UACGUAGGGGGCCAGCGUUGUCCGGAAUCAUUGGGCGUAAAGCGCGCGUAGGCGGCCAGAUAAGUCCGGUGUGAAAGUCAAAGGCUCAACCUUUGAAUGCCGCUGGAAACUGCCUGGCUUGAGUCCGGAAGGGGCGAGUGGAAUUCCUGGUGUAGCGGUGAAAUGCGCAGAUAUCAGGAGGAACACCAAUGGCGAAGGCAGCUCGCUGGAACGGUACUGACGCUGAGACGCGAAAGCGUGGGGAGCAAACAGG
rnacentral:rRNA from 1 species